UACAAACUAGAACACAAUAGGAAACCAGUAGAAAACAAUGAGGCCAUAGUCAUAUUCAAAAAACACUACCUAAUGAAAUCAAUCUCAGAACAUCCACACUCUAUAAUACUUGCAACAGUUUGUGACACAACAAAAAUUAAUAAAAAUUUAAUGUAAUAACAGAGUUAAUCUCAAAAUCACAACACCACAAGCAUACGAAAUUGAUAUUUUUACAGAAGCGGUGUCUCUGCUGUCGCUUGUUGUCGCUGCGGAGUUGGAAGGUUUGUUGCUUGGUUUCGCCUGUUGGGGAAGAGAGAAUCUGCGUCGCGGUUGGUUGUGGUGAAUUUAGAAGAGCAAACCGUGGCGGCGGCGAUGUCGGUGAACAAAGGUGGAUUCGCCUGAGUGUGAAGGAGUUCGGUUAUUGACACGGGGGUGAGGUCUGGAAUUUAUCGCCGGAAUAUAUGAGGAAGACGGAGGAUGGUUCAAAAUUGACGGUGGUUGAGCGAUGAUGCGGCGACGUAGUGGUAGUGGUGGCGAUUCACGGCGGUUAUUCUAGGUUGUUUCGGCGGAAGCGAAAAUGAGGUGUUAGUGUGGUGAAAGGGUGGAAGACGAUGGAGUAUUUGAAGAAGAGGAAUGGUGAUGGUUAAGGGUGAGGCGCUCAGGGAAA